rnacentral:rRNA from 1 species
ACGGAAGGCAGCAGUGGGGAAUAUUGCACAAUGGGCGAAAGCCUGAUGCAGCGACGCCGCGUGAGUGAAGAAGUAUUUCGGUAUGUAAAGCUCUAUCAGCAGGGAAGAAAAUGACGGUACCUGACUAAGAAGCCCCGGCUAACUACGUGCCAGCAGCCGCGGUAAUACGUAGGGGGCAAGCGUUAUCCGGAUUUACUGGGUGUAAAGGGAGCGUAGACGGUAUGCCAAGUCUGAAGUGAAAGCUCGAGGCUCAACUUCGGAAUUGCUUUGGAAACUGGCGUACUAGAGUGCAGGAGAGGUAAGUGGAAUUCCUAGUGUAGCGGUGAAAUGCUUAGAUAUUAGGAGGAACACCAGUGGCGAAGGCGGCUUACUGGACUGUAACUGACGUUGAGGCUCGAAAGCGUGGGGAGCAAACAGGAUUAGAUACCCUGGUA